AAGAGUUAUUGUGGGCCUACACCCUAAUACUCCACCCAUUGUUUACGUACCUUUGUUGCUUUGGCAGGCCCGUCCUUGGACCGCCGGCUCUUAGCUGGUCAGUGCCUGCCAGAGGACCCAAAACUCUUGUUAAAUCAUAUUGUCUGAGUACUAUAUAAUAGUUA
rnacentral:misc_RNA from 1 species